rnacentral:rRNA from 1 species
CCUACGGGAGGCAGCAGUGGGGAAUAUUGGACAAUGGGGGGAACCCUGAUCCAGCGACGCCGCGUGAGUGAAGAAGUAUUUCGGUAUGUAAAGCUCUAUCAGCAGGGAAGAAAGAAAUGACGGUACCUGAAUAAGAAGCACCGGCUAACUACGUGCCAGCAGCCGCGGUACUACGUAGGGGGCAAGCGUUAUCCGGAUUUUCUGGGUGGAAAGGGAGCGUAGACGGCGAUGCAAGUCUGAAGUGAAAGGCCGGGGCCCAACCCCUGGACUGCUUUGGAAACUGUAUGGCUUGAGUGCAGGAGAGGUAAGUGGAAUUCCGAGUGUAGCGGUGAAAUGCGUAGAUAUUAGGAGGAACACCAGUGGCGAAGGCGGCUUACUGGACUGUAACUGACGUUGAGGCUCGAAAGCGUGGGGAGCAAACAGGAUUAGAUACCCUAGUAGUC